AUGAACGCUAGCUACAGGCUUAACACAUGCAAGUCGAGGGGCAGCAUGAACUUAGCUUGCUAAGUUUGAUGGCGACCGGCGCACGGGUGAGUAACACGUAUCCAACCUGCCGAUGACUCGGGGAUAGCCUUUCGAAAGAAAGAUUAAUACCCGAUGGCAUAGUUCUUCCGCAUGGUGGAACUAUUAAAGAAUUUCGGUCAUCGAUGGGGAUGCGUUCCAUUAGGUUGUUGGCGGGGUAACGGCCCACCAAGCCUUCGAUGGAUAGGGGUUCUGAGAGGAAGGUCCCCCACAUUGGAACUGAGACACGGUCCAAACUCCUACGGGAGGCAGCAGUGAGGAAUAUUGGUCAAUGGACGAGAGUCUGAACCAGCCAAGUAGCGUGAAGGAUGACUGCCCUAUGGGUUGUAAACUUCUUUUAUACGGGAAUAAAGUGAGGCACGCGUGCCUUUUUGUAUGUACCGUAUGAAUAAGGAUCGGCUAACUCCGUGCCAGCAGCCGCGGUAAUACGGAGGAUCCGAGCGUUAUCCGGAUUUAUUGGGUUUAAAGGGAGCGUAGGCGGACGCUUAAGUCAGUUGUGAAAGUUUGCGGCUCAACCGUAAAAUUGCAGUUGAUACUGGGUGUCUUGAGUACAGUAGAGGCAGGCGGAAUUCGUGGUGUAGCGGUGAAAUGCUUAGAUAUCACGAAGAACUCCGAUUGCGAAGGCAGCCUGCUGGACUGUAACUGACGCUGAUGCUCGAAAGUGUGGGUAUCAAACAGGAUUAGAUACCCUGGUAGUCCACACAGUAAACGAUGAAUACUCGCUGUUUGCGAUAUACAGUAAGCGGCCAAGCGAAAGCGUUAAGUAUUCCACCUGGGGAGUACGCCGGCAACGGUGAAACUCAAAGGAAUUGACGGGGGCCCGCACAAGCAGUGGAGUAUGUGGUUUAAUUCGACGCAACGCGAAGAACCUUACCAAGUCUUGACAUCCUGCGACGAACAUAGAAAUAUGUUUUUCCUUCGGGACGCAGAGACAGGUGGUGCAUGGUUGUCGUCAGCUCGUGCCGUGAGGUGUCGGCUUAAGUGCCAUAACGAGCGCAACCCUUAUCGAUAGUUACCAUCAGGUUAUGCUGGGGACUCUGUCGAGACUGCCGUCGUAAGAUGUGAGGAAGGUGGGGAUGACGUCAAAUCAGCACGGCCCUUACGUCCGGGGCUACACACGUGUUACAAUGGGGGGUACAGAAGGCAGCUACACGGCGACGUGAUGCUAAUCCCGAAAGCCUCUCUCAGUUCGGAUUGGAGUCUGCAACCCGACUCCAUGAAGCUGGAUUCGCUAGUAAUCGCGCAUCAGCCACGGCGCGGUGAAUACGUUCCCGGGCCUUGUACACACCGCCCGUCAAGCCAUGAAAGCCGGGGGUACCUGAAGUGCGUAACCGCGAGGAGCGCCCUAGGGUAAAACUGGUGAUUGGGGCU
rnacentral:rRNA from 1 species